rnacentral:tRNA from 1 species
GCUCGGAGCGCGGGGGCGGGCGCAAGCCCGAAGCUGAGAAUGAAGUUCAGCUUGAUCAGUGGCGUCAGCGGAGGUUCGAAUCCUCCCCGGAGCA